rnacentral:rRNA from 1 species
AAUGAACGCUGGCGGCAGGCCUAACACAUGCAAGUCGAACGAGUGGCGGACGGGUGAGUAAUGUCUGGGAAACUGCCUGAUGGAGGGGGAAAACAACUGGAAACGGUAGCUAAAACCGCAAACCAAAAGAGGAGCACAGACGGGAUUAGCGUGUGGGUGGGGUAACGGCUCACCAAGGCGACGAUCCCUGGCUGGUCGGAGAGGAGGACCAGCCACACUGGAACUGAGGCACGGGCGAGACUCCUCCGGGAGGCAGCAGGGGGGAAUAGUGCGCAAUGGGCGCAAGCCUGAUACGGCCAGGCCGCGUGUAUGAAGAAGGCCUUCGGGUUGUAAAGUACUUUCAGCGGGGCGGCGUUACCUGCAGAAGAAGCACCGGCUAACUCCGUGCCAGCAGCCGCGGUAAUUC